UUAAUAGAAUAGGAUGUACCGUAGACAGUAGGAGCGUCUUUGCGCUUAAUUAUCCUGCCGAGGUGUUUAUAGAUAAAUUGGAUAUAUACGGUUUAUAUUCCAAUCGAUGAAUAAGCUCUCAUGUCUACGUGAGGGCUUUUUAUUUGCGCUU
rfam:Virgibacillus chiguensis strain CGMCC 1.6496 genome assembly, contig: Ga0104465_120